rnacentral:misc_RNA from 1 species
AAGUCGUAACAAGGUUUCCGUAGGUGAACCUGCGGAAGGAUCAUUAACACGUAUUUGCCCCAACAACAAACCUCUGUGAACCUGUUCGCAUGGCGUGCGAGCUUUGAUGGUCUAAAUCAGCUGCCGUAUGCUGACUAGGCUGUUGCUCAGUGUCCAGCUGUCUGCGCGACUGGCGUGGCACGAAGGCAUCUCCACGCUGCAGUACGGCCCCCUUUUUUUGUCCCAAUUUACCAACUGAACUAACUAUUGCGGAAGAUUCGAAAACCUUUGGGCUCUUUUGUAUCUUCUGAUUGUCAAACUGUUACAACUCUUAGCAACGGAUAUCUUGGCUCUC